CAAAGGUCAAUUCAAGUAAAUCCCACCAAAAUGGUUUAUGUGCUUCAAUCCAAGAAGAAUUUGACAAACAUUUUUUUAUCUGUUCUCAUGCUUGCUAACAAUUACAAGUCACAGAAACAUAUUUUCCAUCUUCACAAAAUUGUACUCCUCUUAGCAAGUUGAAAAUCAUGAGAUACUCCACUAACUAAUGAGCAAAGGAAAGGAUAUAUUGGAAUAGCAAGUGCAAAAUCAAGAGAUACUCCACUAACAAGCAAAGGAAAGGAUAACAUGGAAUAGCAAGCUCAAAAUCAAGAGAUAAUCCACUAACUAAUGAGCAAAGGAAAGGAUAUAUUGGAAUAGCAAGUGCAAAAUCAAGAGAUACUCCACUAACAAGCAAAGGAAAGGAUAACAUGGAAUAGCAAGCUCAAAAUCAAGAGAUAA
rnacentral:misc_RNA from 1 species